UUUGAAAUCCUUCCAAUAUGGAUCCAUGCUGUCUUUUAUAUCCAUAAGAUACCAAUUAGAUUGUGUUAAUUAUUGUUUAUAAGAAAAUAUUUGUGUGCAGAGUUGCAGUGGGUAAAUCUUAAUGGCUGGCAGAAAAUUGGUUCGGGAUAUAUUACUCUCAACACAAAGUAUUUUUUAUCAGUUUACUUCCCAUCGGCAUAAAUGAAACUGUGUUUCAAGAACAAGGUGCCGCUACAUCAUUCAAGGAAAUUCGUCGUAGAGGUCUUUCUCUUUACCAGAUUUCGUAGCUGAAGUUUAUGAAGUAAUCAAACCGGUGUUAACUUCUUAUAUAA